rnacentral:lncRNA from 1 species
AAAACUUUAUGCCUAAUUCACCAGUAAGCCUAGGCAUGUUUAUAUGUUGCUGUACAUAUAUACCGAGGCUAACCUGCACAAAUCUACCCUCAGUGGAACAUUUUCUGCUGCCUCUCCAGAUCCAUUUUCUGCUUUUUUUCUUCCUCUCUUGGGCCAUGAGAGCCUGACCUGUAUAGACAACACCCAUGGAAAGACGUAGAGUACAGAGUGAGCUUCAGGUGUUUAAUCCCCAGGAUCCUCACUGUGACUCGGAGUAGGCUUCUUCUCUCUUUUAACUGAGUUUCUUAGCUACCAUAAAAUGGUUCUCAGCACUCAGCCUUGUCCACUUUGAGCAAAUCCUUCCCUGUUUUUACUUUGUUUUGACCCUAGGGCACUGCAGUAACUUCCAGCGUUCUAUAUCCUCUUUUUCGCAUUUUAAAAUAAUCUCUUUAUUAAACUCUUCUCAAAUGAUCCUGAUGUCAAGCUUCCACGUUUUCAGCUGGGACCCCUUCGAUAGGCUCCUUAUCACCUUAUAUUGUUCUGUUACUUUAAGCAACUAUUUAUUGCACAUUUCCUAUGUGUCAGCCAAUACAAGAACUUUGCAGAUUUCCCUUUUUAAUAUUUUGUUAGGAAAUAAGAAUUUCAUCAUUAGAAUCUAUGUGAACUUUUCCAAGGUCUGCAAAGGUUAUGAUAUUUCCACCAGUUUUUGCUCACAGUAGAAAUGAUGUCACAUUAUAACGCUGUGAAAAAUGUUGGGGCAGGAAAGUGAGAUUUGGGAGGUAGGCAGGGGCCUAAUUAUGAUAAAGGUGAUGGUGGUGAUGAUGUUGAUGAUGACAGAGGUUAAAAAAACUUUAAACAUAUGCUGAGGUGCGUGCUGUGUGGUAUAUAUCAUUCGAUUUUCACAGUGAACCUGUGGUGUGGAUAGUAUUGAUAUUCCCAUUUUUCACAUGCAGUUCCACAGGCUCUUGCCUGCACUUUUGUUCAUGUCACUCUUACUCAACCCCUUUGCACUAUUCCCCUUAACCCCUGCUCUUAUCAGUAUCAAAUUAAUUUCUGUCUGUCUCUCAUGGAAACUCUCCUUCAGUCCUUGCCUUCCUCAGCCUUCAGUGGGUAUACUAGAAAGUUCUUCAUAUGUAAAUUGCCUAGGAAACAAAUUGAAAUGUCUUUGGGGGAGUGGUGGUGGUAUUUAAAUUAAUUACAAAUUAAAUAAAAUAAUGUAAAUACCAAUGCACGUAUUUAUACAGGUAGCUUUAAAAAUUCAGAUGUAAUCGACAUACAACAUUGUAUUUGUUGUAGGUGUCCAACAUAAUGAAUUGCUACAUAGGUAGCAAAUAAAAGUCCUUUUAGUACUGCUAGAUGUUAUUAGAAAGACAAAGAAAAAAAGUGUAAACCAUUGUACCUUGCAGAAUCCAACUCCACAUUUGAUGUUUGAAUAAUGCCAUCCUUCCCACAAAUACCCUUACAUAUUUAGACUACAGAGGACAUGACUGAAUUGUAUAAACAGCAUGGGCUUUGAAGCCUCAGCCAGAAUUCUAAUUUAACUAUGUCUGUCACUGCAACGGUGUGACCUUUGGUAGGUUACUGAAUGUCUCUGAGCUUCAGACUUUAUCCCCUAACUAAAUACUACCUGCCAAGACUGCUGAGAAGAUGAAAUAAGUUAUUGUAUGUAAAACACUAAGCACAUAACAAGAAUUUAAAACUAGUGCUGAAAGUUUCUAUUUUCAGUAUUAAUUUAUAAUAUUAAUGAUCAUGCAGAGGGAAAAAAAUGAAAUAACUUUGGAAAUGAACUCAAGUGAACCCCCUAACUUUCCCCCAAUUUCUGACUUAACGUCUCAUGACUGGGCUGUUUCGAAUGGUGCAGUUGCAUAUGCAUAGUAGGAAGCAGGGCAGAGCAGUGAUUAAGGUGCUACCUUAGAAUGAGACUUCCUCAGUAAUCUUGGGCAGAUCACUUAACUCCUCUGUGCCUCAUUUUUCUUUUUCUUUUUUAAAAUAGAAUGUUUUUUAGAGCAGUUUUAGGUUCACAGUAAAAUUGAACAGAAGGUACAGAGUGUUUCCUUCUAACUCCUGGAAAUCAGUGAGUGAGGGAGGACAGGGCACUUUGGACUGGGAAAAGAUCUUGGAAGAGCGUAUCAACUGACAAAAAAAUGCACCACCUGAAAGUUGAGAAUUAUGUUUUAUUUGAGGGCCUUACCGAGGACAAUAGUUGGGAAGAUGGCCUCUCAGAUAACUCUAAGGAAUAAUUCCCAAGAGGUAAGGGAGGAACCAGAAUAGAUGGAUCAUUUGCUGAAAAAAUUUAGGCAAACACCAAAAGAUCACUGCUUAUAACCAAAAAAGAUACAUCUCAAAUUAUGAUUUUUGUGCUUUUCUAUGUUUGGGAAGAUACAAGAGGCUCAGCUUAACUGGAAUCAUCCUAUUGAUGUGCAUCUUAACUGCUUAGAACAAGUAUCCUGUUUUUUACAUCCUGAAAUGCCCUCAGUGUGCGUUCUCUUGGUGGGCUGUAGUGGCUGAUGGCUUUUUGGCUGCAACAUCCUUUGUGUACUGAAAUGGCAGGUGAUAUUCUUUGUUCAUAAGCAAAAGCUUAGGAGAAGUCUGUAAUUGUAACUAGGAGAGGAAUGUCUAAUUGAGACUCCUCUGAGAUGCCCUGCCCCCUGGGUUAUGGAAGUGGAGAUAGAACUGGAGAGAGCAAUUGGAUUCAGAAGGGGCUAAAACUCUUUUUCUGGGGCCUCCCGUCAGACUGGCCUCUGGUAUGUAUAGGAGAGGACACUGGGUCAUGUACUGGGUCCUGGACGCUGAAUCACCUCCUUCCUGCAGGCUUCUCUCUUCCACUACCAGAUAUGCCUCAUUUUCUGAUGUGUAAAAUAAAUAUUAUAAUGAAACUAUGGCAUAGAGUUGCAGUGAAAAUUAAAUCAGUAAAUGCAUGUAAAUAGCCUAGAUUAGAACAUUUGCCUAGAUCUAAUGUUAAUAGAUCUAGGCAAAUGUUAAACGACCUAAUAAAAGCUCAAUGUUAUUUGCUAUUGUUUUCAUUAUUUUAUUAUUUGCCCCUUUCACAGCUAAUCGAAUGAGAAAAGCUAUGUUAAAACAAUAAAGAUUGCCUAAAGACACUGAG